GACGAAGGGGGCUAGCGUUGUUCGGAAUUACUGGGCGUAAAGCGCGUGUAGGCGGUUUUCCAAGUUGGGUGUGAAAGCCUUGGGCUUAACCCAAGAAAUGCACCCAGUACUGGAAGACUAGAGGACCGGAGAGGAUAGUGGAAUUCCCAGUGUAGUGGUGAAAUACGUAGAGAUUGGGAAGAACACCAGUGGCGAAGGCGGCUAUCUGGACGGUUUCUGACACUAAGACGCGAAAGCGUGGGGAGCACACAGG
rnacentral:rRNA from 1 species